rnacentral:rRNA from 1 species
GACAGAGGAGGCAAGCGUUGUCCGGACUGACUGGGCGUAAAGCGCGCGCAGGCGGAUAUGGGCGUCGGUGCUGAAAGACCACCGCUUAACGGUGGCUCGCGUGCCGAUACGCCAUAUCUGGAGGGCGGGCGAGGGCGGUGGAAUUGCCGGUGUAGUGGUGAAAUGCGUAGAGAUCGGCAGGAACACCCGUGGCGGAAGCGGCCGCCUAGCCCGCACCUGACGCUGAGGCGCGACAGCGUGGGGAGCGAACAGG